AAACAUUUAAAAUUGAAACAACCAGUUUGGCCCAAUUUGAGAAUUACAACCGAAAUGACUUGUGGCGCUUAACAAACAAAGCAAAGUUCCAUAUCAAGGCAAUGUAUUACUCACUGGGCAGAAGCUUCUGUGCAGAUUGGCCUUGCGUUCAUUCGGUUCUCGCAUCAUCAGAUACAAUUUGCAUCUUUUUCCCAAAGCGAUUCGACUCAGCUGUG